rnacentral:rRNA from 1 species
CACUUCAACCCCUCCCUCUCACAACAAAGAGUCACAACUCUAAGGAACAGAACUUCUGACCGAACAUGAUCCGGUGCUUCACCGAUCAACGGACCAAGUUACCCCAGGGAUAACAGCGCAAUCCUCUUCUAGAGUCCAUAUCGACAAGAGGGUUUACGACCUCGAUGUUGGAUCAGGACAUCCUAAUGGUGCAGCCGCUAUUAAGGGUUCGUUUGUUCAAC